rnacentral:lncRNA from 1 species
UCUCUCUCUCUCUCUCUCUCUCCCAACAAACAGUCCUUCAACCCCCUCAAUAAUCCCUCUCUCUCUCUCUCUCUCUCUCUCUCUCUCUUCCAACAAACAGUCCUUCAACCCCCUCAAUACUCCUUUCUCUCUCUCUCUCUCUCUCUCUCUCUCUGCAAACAAGCAGUCCUUCAACCCCCUCAAUACUCCUCUCUCUCUCUCUCUCUCUCUCUCUCAACAAGCAGUCCUUCAACCCCCUCAAUACUCCUUUCUCUCUCUCUUCCAACAAGCAGUCCUUCAACCCCCUCAAUACUCCUCUCUCUCUCUCUCUCUCUCUCCCAACAAACAGUCCUUCAACCCCCUCAAUACUCCUCUCUCUCUCUCUCUCUCUCCCAACAAACAGUCCUUCAACCCCCUCAACACUCCUCUCUCUCUCUCUCUCUCUCUCUCUCUUCCAACAAACAGUCCUUCAACCCCCUCAAUACUCCUCUCUCUCUCUCCCAACAAACAUCCUUCAACCCCCUCAAUACUCCCUCUCUCUCUCUCUCUCUCUCUUCCAA